rnacentral:rRNA from 1 species
ACUUGAAUUGAAGAGUUUGAUCAUGGCUCAGAUUGAACGCUGGCGGCAGGCUUAACACAUGCAAGUCGAACGGUAGCAGGAGAAAGCUUGCUUUCUUGCUGACGAGUGGCGGACGGGUGAGUAAUGCUUGGGAAUCUGGCUUAUGGAGGGGGAUAACGACGGGAAACUGUCGCUAAUACCGCGUAUUAUCGGAAGAUGAAAGUGCGGGACUGAGAGGCCGCAUGCCAUAGGAUGAGCCCAAGUGGGAUUAGGUAGUUGGUGGGGUAAAGGCCUACCAAGCCUGCGAUCUCUAGCUGGUCUGAGAGGAUGACCAGCCACACUGGAACUGAGACACGGUCCAGACUCCUACGGGAGGCAGCAGUGGGGAAUAUUGCGCAAUGGGGGGAACCCUGACGCAGCCAUGCCGCGUGAAUGAAGAAGGCCUUAGGGUUGUAAAGUUCUUUCG